GACGAACGCUGGCGGCGUGCCUAAUACAUGCAAGUCGAGCGGACGGAUGGGAGCUUGCUCCCAGACCGUCAGCGGCGGACGGGUGAGUAACACGUGGGCAACCUGCCUGUAAGACUGGGAUAACUCCGGGAAACCGGGGCUAAUACCGGAUAACUCUUUCCCUCACAUGAGGGAAAGCUGAAAGAUGGCAUCUCGCUAUCACUUACAGAUGGGCCCGCGGCGCAUUAGCUAGUUGGUGAGGUAACGGCUCACCAAGGCGACGAUGCGUAGCCGACCUGAGAGGGUGAUCGGCCACACUGGGACGGAGACACGGCCCAGACUCCUACGGGAGGCAGCAGUAGGGAAUCUUCCGCAAUGGACGAAAGUCUGACGGAGCAACGCCGCGUGAGUGAUGAAGGUUUUCGGAUCGUAAAACUCUGUUGUCAGGGAAGAACAAGUACCGGAGUAACUGCCGGUACCUUGACGGUACCUGACCAGAAAGCCACGGCUAACUACGUG
rnacentral:rRNA from 1 species